rnacentral:rRNA from 1 species
GGGGAAUUUUCCGCAAUGGGCGAAAGCCUGACGGAGCAAGACCGCGGGGGGGAGGAAGGUUCUUGGAUUGUCAACCCCUUCUCUCAGGGAAGAAGAAAGUGACGGUACCUGAGGAAGAAGCAUCGGCUAACUCCGUGCCAGCAGCCGCGGUAAUACGGGGGAUGCAAGCGUUAUCCGGAAUGAUUGGGCGUAAAGAGUCCGUAGGUGGCUCAUCAAGUCUGCUGUUAAAGAGCGAGGCUUAACUUCGUAAAAGCAGUGGAAACUGAAGAGCUAGAGUAUAGUAGGGGCAGAGGGAAUUCCUGGUGUAGCGGUGAAAUGCGUAGAGAUCAGGAAGAACACCGGUGGCGAAAGCGCUCUGCUGGGCUAAAACUGACACUGAGGGACGAAAGCUAGGGGAGCGAAUGGGAUUAGAUACCCCAGUAGUC